UGGGGAAUAUUGCACAAUGGGCGCAAGCCUGAUGCAGCAACGCCGCGUGAGGGAUGACGGCCUUCGGGUUGUAAACCUCUUUUAGUAGGGAAGAAGCGAAAGUGACGGUACCUGCAGAAAAAGCACCGGCUAACUACGUGCCAGCAGCCGCGGUAAUACGUAGGGUGCGAGCGUUGUCCGGAAUUAUUGGGCGUAAAGAGCUCGUAGGCGGUCUGUCGCGUCUGCUGUGAAAACCCGAGGCUCAACCUCGGGCCUGCAGUGGGUACGGGCAGACUAGAGUGCGGUAGGGGAGAAUGGAAUUCCUGGUGUAGCGGUGGAAUGCGCAGAUAUCAGGAGGAACACCGAUGGCGAAGGCAGUUCUCUGGGCCGUAACUGACGCUGAGGAGCGAAACGCGUGGGGAGCGAACAGGAUUAGAUACCCUGGUAGUCCACGCCGUAAACGUUGGGCGCUAGAUGUGGGGCACCAUUCCACGGUUUCCGUGUCGCAGCUAACGCAUUAAGCGCCCCGCCUGGGGCAGUACGGCCGCAAGGCUAAAA
rnacentral:rRNA from 1 species